GACAGAGGUGGCAAGCGUUAUUCGGUGUUACUGGGCUUAAAGAGUGUGUAGGCGGGCUUGUAUGCGUCGUGUGAAAUACCUCGGCUUAACCGAGGAAUUGCUCGACGAACUGCAAGUCUUGAGGCAAGUAGGGGUGCGCGGAACUCUUGGUGGAGCGGUGGAAUGCGUAGAUAUCAAGAGGAACGCCGGUGGUGAAGACGGCGCACUAGGCUUGUUCUGACGCUGAGACACGAAAGCGUGGGGAGCAAACAGG
rnacentral:rRNA from 1 species